UUCUGGUUGAUCCCGCCAGAGGUUACUGCUAUCGAGGUUCGACUAAGCCAUGCGAGUCGAAUGUAGCAAUACAUGGCGUACUGCUCAGUAACACGUGGACAACCUGCCCUUAGGUUGGGUAUAAACCCGGGAAACUGGGUAUAAUCCCCUAUAAGUCUCGGCUGCUGGAAUGCACCGAGAUUAAAAGCUCCGGCGCCUAAGGAUGGGUCUGCGGCCUAUCAGGUAGUAGUGGGUGUAGCGUACCUACUAGCCUACGACGGGUACGGGUUGUGAGAGCAAGAGCCCGGAGAUGGAUUCUGAGACACGAAUCCAGGCCCUACGGGGUGCAGCAGGCGCGAAAACUUUACAAUGCUGGCAACAGCGAUAAGGGAACCUCGAGUGCCAGGUUACAAAUCUGGCUGUCGAGAUGCCUAAAAAGCAUUUCAUAGCAAGGGCCGGGCAAGACCGGUGCCAGCCGCCGCGGUAACACCGGCGGCUCGAGUGGUAACCGUUAUUAUUGGGUCUAAAGGGUCUGUAGCCGGCCGGAUAAGUCUCUUGAGAAAUCUGGCAGCUCAACUGUCAGGCUUUCAGGAGAUACUGUCUGGCUCGAGGCCGGGAGAGGUGAGAGGUACUUCAGGGGUAGGGGUGAAAUCUUGUAAUCCUUGAAGGACCACCAGUGGCGAAGGCGUCUCACCAGAACGGACCUGACGGCAAGGGACGAAAGCUAGGGGCACGAACCGGAUUAGAUACCCGGGUAGUCCUAGCCGUAAACGAUACUCGCUAGGUGUCGGCCACGGUGCGACCGUUGUCGGUGCCGUAGGGAAGCCGUGAAGCGAGCCACCUGGGAAGUACGGCCGCAAGGCUGAAACUUAAAGGAAUUGGCGGGA
rnacentral:rRNA from 1 species